AGAGUACUUACUGACAAAAUUAUUUUUUGUACAUUCCAGAACCCCCUGAAUGAUGUAGGCUAUGGGGCCACAUAAGACUUUGUGCAUCCAGGGUUACAUAGCACGACAACUUUAAACUAAAGAACCCCCUGAAUGAUGUAGGCUAUGGGGCCACAUAAGACUUUGUGCAUCCAGGGUUACAUAGCAUGACAACUUUAAACUAAAAAGCUACCAGACUGGGAUUUUAGUGUACUCCAGGAUCUACCAAAGGAUUACUACAUACAUACUACGUAGUGUACAGUGCAUAAUAUAGUGUUUAGUGUAUAAUCUAACCUAAGGAUUAAGUGUAGUACAUUGUGCUUUAUAGUGU